UUAGAGCUAAAAAUGUCGAUCAGGUCUUCUAUUCUGGGUCCUCAAGAUUGAGGGCACAUAGUGGGAUAAGUGCAGGACCAAUAUUUAAAGAUAAACGAUCAGCAUCCGUCCUGAUACACUGUAUUUGAUGGUUAUUCGUGGCACAGGACUAUUUACCAGUUUGUUUAGCGCAUAAAUGCAGUUACCUACUUUAUCAGAGCGAAAAUGCAAGGCUCACAGUUUAAAAUCUGGCUUUGCGGCCUUUGUUUUUGGUAUUUAAGAUCAAAACAUGCGGCUACGUGUGCGCUUCAAAUUGCACAGAGCCGUCGCCUUUGCAAUGUAAACGUCAGAUGUGCAGGCAGUGCUGAGAAAUUGCGUUUUUAUCUCGUAUGCACUCUGUAGGGCAGCUCUUAUGAUGCUGCCAAGCAGCGCUGCGCUGUGUGAGAAAUCAAAGCGCAGGCGUCGAGUCGGGAGGGAGCCUAUCUUGCGCAGGCUGGAUACUGUACAUGGCCAUUGAUGCUGCUGGAUAGAUGUAGCCCCCGAUGUAAAUAAGAAUGGCGAGGGCAGCGGGUCUGACACGCCGAGUUAUCGCUGCUUGACAUCGGAACGUCACACCAUCGGGAUUUUAUUUAAGAAGAAAGAAAGAAAAACGCGGGGUCCGGUUUUUUCAUCUGAAUUUGUCUUGAUGGUUUUCAUUUGACACAAAGCAGACGGGCGGCGUCUUCUAAUAAACACGGGAAAAACGGGUCAUUAUGACCUUAGUAUCCUCCAGUAAAAGAAAACCAUCAGAUUGUUUUUACGCAGCAGCAUUCUGCUUGCAUUUUUUUUGCUUUGGAUUUCGUGUGCCGUGUCCGGAAAGGGGGAUCAUCAGUUCAGCGUUGAGUGAUAUCACCCUGAGCUGGAUGCAAAAGCCACGCUGCGGAGUUCCGGACAAAUUCAGAAGCGCUUCAAGGUCACGGAGGCGGAGAUACGCUCUGACGGGACAGAAGUGGCAGCGAACACACAUAACCUACACGUGAUAGACGGCUGAGGCAUGUUGUCAUAGGGAGGUUAGGAUUCAGAUCUGCUAGUGUUAAUUGCCUCACCUCUUCCCUGUCUCUCAUCUCCUCCUCUUUCUUCCUUCUGUAUCUGUAGCCAAGCUGUUUACCUCCAAGUUUUUAUUAGCAGCGAGCCACAGACCAAAUUCUAGUUAAUUGAAACGAUAUUUUAUUGCAUACCAUCACUAUAAGAACACUGGAAAGGGCAUGUCGUAUUGUGUUGGUAUGUAUGCCAGUGAGUCCAAACCACAACUAAACCCAUAGAGAAACAGACAUGCAGUUGACAGGCGACACAACAAAGGACAAAUGAAAACACACAACUAUUUAUACUAGGACCACACUGACCACACUGAGGGGUUAACAUGGUAAAACUAAUAGCACUACAUGAGUUACAACAGACUAUCAAAAUACAACAGGAAGUUACUCAAGAAACAGCAACAAGUACGUAAUACGCUUAAGCUUGACACAGAAGGACAGAAAGAGAGAUUUUAGAAAAUAAACCAUAAGCAGAAUACUAAUGGGAACAAACAGGAAUUGAAACAAAGCAUUAGGCCACAAGAUACUAAGGAAUGUAAAAAUCAAACAAAUAAACUAAGAAUAAAAUAGAACAUCAAAUAAUGAACAAGAAUUAAAAGUCCCCCCCCAAAAGGACUCUGGCAACAAGACCCUCCACAAUGGCAGGGCAAGCUUUACAGUAGUUAUCUGUUUUUUACUGUAACAGGCGACAGUGAGGUUGUUUCCCUUUCUGUAUGGUAGGAGAACGAGUGCAGGUGUAGUAGAUUUCAAACGGUUGACUGCGUUGUGACGACAGACACAGACUGGCUGGAAACUGGAUUUAUUUCUAAAAGACAGUGCAGCAGCAAAAUCAGUGUCACACAGCAACA